GCAGUUUUACGUCAGUUGGGAGAGCAUUAGACUGAAGUCCACUGAAAUUCAAUCCUCUUAAUCUAAAGAUCGCUUGUUCGAUCCAGAGAAGCUGCA